rnacentral:rRNA from 1 species
UACAGAGGGUGCGAGCGUUGUUCGGAAUUAUUGGGCGUAAAGGGCGCGUAGGCGGUGCGGUAAGUCACCUGUGAAAUCUCCCGGCUCAACCGGGAGCUUGCAGGCGAAACUGCCGUGCUGGAGUGUGGGAGAGGUGCGUGGAAUUCCCGGUGUAGCGGUGAAAUGCGUAGAUAUUGGGAGGAACACCAGUGGCGAAGGCGGCUCACUGGACCGGUACUGACGCUGAGGCGCGAAAGCGUGGGGAGCAAACGGG